rnacentral:rRNA from 1 species
CCUACGAGCGGCAGCAGUGAGGAAUAUUGGUCAAUGGACGAGAGUCUGAACCAGCCAAGUAGCGUGAAGGAUGACUGCCCUAUGGUUUGUAAACUUCUUUUAUAAAGGAAUAAAACGAGGCACGUGUGCCUUUUUGCAUGUACUUUAUGACUAAGGAUCGGCUAACUCCUUGCCAGCAGCCGCGGUAAUACGGAGGAUCCGAGGGUUAUCCGGAUUUAUUGGGUUUAAAGGGAGCGUAGAUGGGUUGUUAAGUCAGUUGUGAAAGUUUGCGGCUCAACCGUAAAAUUGCAAUUGAUACUGGGAGUCUUGAGUACAGUUGAGGUAAGCGGAAUUCGUGGUGUAGCGGUGAAAUGCUUAGAUAUUACGAAGAACCCCGAUUGCGAAGGCAGCUUACUAAACUGUGACUGACAUUGAUGCGCGAAAGUGUGGGUAGCAAACAGGAUUAGAUACCCGAGUAGUC